UGGGGAAUAUUGGACAAUGGGCGCAAGCCUGAUCCAGCAAUACCGCGUGUGUGAAGAAGGCCUUAGGGUUGUAAAGCACUUUCAAUUGGGAGGAAAACCUACCGGUCAAUACCCGGUAGCUUGACAUUACCUUUAGAAGAAGCACCGGCUAACUCCGUG
rnacentral:rRNA from 1 species